rnacentral:miRNA from 1 species
UGAGGCAGGAGAAUUGCUUGAACCCAGGAGGUGGAGGCUGCAGUGAGCCGAGAUCGCACCACUGCACUCCAGCCUGGGCAACAAAGCGAGACUC